rnacentral:lncRNA from 1 species
CAAGUUGAAUAGAGAUUUGAAUCGAUUGAUAAACGAAGAACAUUUGAUGUCGGGAAUACUUAUUUGAACUAAAAGCGGAAACAUUUGCAUUCUUAUAUGAACGCCAUGUACUAAUACAGAAUCCGUAUAUAUCCGUGGAGACGCCAAAUAAGGCACCAGUUGGACUUGCUCUUAUAAGUUAUAAAAGUUUAGAAACACCAUCUGAUUUUAGGUUGGACAUUGUUCGGCAAUUGGAUUUAUAUAUCAUGGGUUCGGCGAAGGUGAAUCGUCUCCCCCACGUGGCGCAACAUUCUGAAUAGGUCUUGUGGUCGGUGAUGGUGGUGACGGUUGAGCUUCUUUAAGGCUUUCAGACCAAGCAUCUCUGUUCAUAUUUGUUAGACCACCAGCAUCGUCACAGUUCAUAAGAUCAAGCUUUCGGUAUCCACUCCAGCAAUAGGAAAACCAUUUGGAGUUCUGGUUCUCAUCUGUGGAACAUGAAUGUCACGAUAAUAAAUGGCAUAAUAAUAGUAAUAAUUCAUGACUCAUUCUAAUGUCAUUGAUAAAAUCUAGUAGGUGCCUCAACAAGCAAGUUGAGACUCUGUUCCAAUGUGUAUGCUGCUAAUUAAAUAAAGAUACGGAUUUUCUAAUGUGUAACAACCACUUUUUAAUUAGCUUACUAAUCUUUAUUAAUUCUGAUCUCAUCAAUAAUGAUGUCCCCUGCAUGCACAACAAUCAAUCAAAAUCUUCCACUUAAGUAAAAAUGAGCACACACGAGAAAGACCCAUAAAGAUACAUAGUACGUGAAGAAAAUAUGUACGUUGAUGAAAUGAGGAGACGGAAGUCCCAGAAGUUCCAGAAAUUGACAAGAGGAGAAAGAC